rnacentral:rRNA from 1 species
UGGGGAAUAUUGCACAAUGGGCGAAAGCCUGAUGCAGCGACGCCGCGUGAGGGAUGACGGCCUUCGGGUUGUAAACCUCUUUCAGUAGGGACGAAGCGCAAGUGACGGUACCUGCAGAAGAAGCACCGGCUAACUACGUGCCAGCAGCCGCGGUAAUACGUAGGGUGCGAGCGUUGUCCGUAAUUACUGGGCGUAAAGAGCUCGUAGGCGGUUUGUCACGUCGUCUGUGAAAUCCUAGGGCUUAACCCUGGACGUGCAGGCGAUACGGGCUGACUUGAGUACUACAGGGGAGACUGGAAUUUCUGGUGUAGCGGUGGAAUGCACAGAUAUCAGGAAGAACACCGAUGGCGAAGGCAGGUCUCUGGGUAGUAACUGACGCUGAGGAGCGAAAGCAUGGGUAGCGAACAGG